AUUUGUACAUGACUAAUAUUAAGCCAUAGUGUUCAAGCUAGUCAUGACCUUGAACCUAUGCACCUGAUAUAUGUAACAAUAUUUAAGAAAAGAGUUUGUUUGUAUCUCUCAGAUCAGCUGUGACCC